AUUGAACGCUGGCGGCAGGCUUAACACAUGCAAGUCGAGCGGGGUGAUGGUGCUUGCACUAUCACUUAGCGGCGGACGGGUGAGUAAUGCUUAGGAAUCUGCCUAUUAGUGGGGGACAACAUCUCGAAAGGGAUGCUAAUACCGCAUACGUCCUACGGGAGAAAGCAGGGGAUCACUUGUGACCUUGCGCUAAUAGAUGAGCCUAAGUCGGAUUAGCUAGUUGGUGGGGUAAAGGCCUACCAAGGGGACGAUCUGUAGCGGGUCUGAGAGGAUGAUCAGCCACACUGGGACUGAGGCACGGCCCAGAUUCCUACGGGAGGCAGCAGUGGGGAAUAUUGGACAAUGGGGGGAACUCUGAUCCAGCCAUGCCGCGUGUGUGAAGAAGGCCUUAUGGUUGUAAAGCACUUUAAGCGAGGAGGAGGCUCUUUUGGUUAAUACCCAAGAUGAGUGGACGUUACUCGCAGAAUAAGCACCGGCUAACUCUGUGCCAGCCGCCGCCGUAA
rnacentral:rRNA from 1 species